rnacentral:tRNA from 1 species
GUCCCCAUAGUUCAACGGAUAGAAUGGGAGCCUUCUAAGCUCUAGAUGUAGGUUCAAUUCCUACUGGGGACA